CGUAGCUCCAUCGUAUGCCUGACUCCAGCCUUCACCGCUCCCCGUAUUGGCUUCACCGCUGGCCGGUUCCGUGUGUCCGCCGACUUCUCGGAGUGCAGCUAGUCGCUGAACAUGGGCCUUAUGACUGACCACAGCAGAGCGCAGAUCUCGGGCGUAACAGGGAGCGGCAACAUCAAGGCGUCUUGGUCCCAGUUCCGACGAACGCUGCUGUUUUGUCUUGUCUUGUGUCUUGUUUUGUUUCAUUCCAUUUGUGAGUCGGCUGUGUUUAGCCGCCACGAAGUUGAUUAUCUGAAGUGACGACAGUCACCUCUACUGACUUUAGCGAACUCACUCUGGAGAGUACUACUGCUGUUAGCGAAUCCACACUGGAGAGUACUACUGCUGUUAGCGAACCCACACUGGAGAGUAAUACUGACUUGAGCGAACCCACACUGGAGAGAACUCAUUCAUGUUUUUAAUGUAAAUAAAUAAGAGUUUAUUUUUGGAA